UACGUAGGGGGCAAGCGUUAUCCGGAUUUACUGGGUGUAAAGGGAGCGUAGACGGCUUUGCAAGCCAGAUGUGAAAGCCCGGGGCUCAACCCCGGGACUGCAUUUGGAACUGUGUGGCUAGAGUGUCGGAGAGGCAGGCGGAAUUCCUAGUGUAGCGGUGAAAUGCGUAGAUAUUAGGAGGAACACCAGUGGCGAAGGCGGCCUGCUGGACGAUGACUGACGUUGAGGCUCGAAAGCGUGGGGAGCAAACAGG
rnacentral:rRNA from 1 species